ACUGAAAUAGUUUAAUGGUUAGAACAUACCAUUCAUGACGGUAAAAUAAAGGUUCAAUUCCUUUUUUCGGUA
rnacentral:tRNA from 1 species